rnacentral:lncRNA from 1 species
UAAAUGACAGCACCGGGAGGUAGAAGGAAGCCACAGAAGCUGUGGCUCUAAGGGUCAGAAGAAGAGUUCUUCAGAGGCUAGAGGAAUAAUGGUCCGGUUCUCCCCUCUACCUCAGUUGGGAUUCCAGAACAUAAACUAGAAAAGUGUUGCCGGAAAAAAAUGUGUGGGCAAACCUAGAUGACCAGGAUAAGUUAUAGUUAAGCCUAUAAUAAGGAUAUCAGGAAAUGGGGCAUAUUAGGUUAAACUGGCUAUAAAGUUUUCAAGAAGAAUUCACUCUAGAAAUGCCCUGAUUUUGAGUAGUGGGUGGUAUUGGUAUCCCAGAUUGCCCAGGUUGGCUCUGGAAGAUUCCAAGUUUUUAGAUCACUCCCUGAUAUGAGAACCCAGUAGUAAAGAACACAUGUACAUUAAACACAAUUGUUUGCAUACUAGUUCAGGGGGUUAUCAGAGUUCUUUGAAGCUCUAGGUUAAGAACCAUAUUUAGAAGAUGGCUUUGUACAUAUGGCUAUUAGAUCUUUGUGGCUAAUUCCAUCAUGUAGAUAGAUACUAGUCUCUCCUUAGGCUGCAAUUGCCAAUCAGAAGAGAAAACUUUAGAAAAUUGAUCAAGUUAUAAUUUGGCACAAUUUUCCAGUUUUCUCUGGAAAAUAAUGUCUCUUUAACAAUUCAGUGCUGGCAUGAUUCCAAUUAAAAUGUUUGUUUAUAUAUACAAAACUUCCUGGGGAUCAAAAUGACGUGUAUCUUAGGUGCUUAAUAAAUGUUUGCUGAACUAAAAAAUAAAUAAAUAAAUAAAUAAAUAAAUAAAUAAAUAAAUAAAUAAAUAAAUAAAUAUUUGCUGAACUGAAGGGAUAAGAGCUGGCUUCCCAUGUAGACUUUCCUACAGGGAAAAGAACAUGUUGACUGCAUAUCAUAGGUUUCUAGGCCCUUUGAUAGUUACUCUUCUCAUUAUGAAUGAGCAAAUUGGUGUUCUAGUUUAUACACUGGCCUCCUGUGCAUUGAGUUAGCACGAACUUCAUCCCUCGAGUAUGAUCAACUCUGGGCACCCUGACAAAAUUAAGUUUCUGGACUUGCAAAACUGAGGAAUGAGCCCUGGAAAAUGUGACUUGACUGAGGCAAUAUCAUCCUGAGGCCAGCCUGCGGGGCCCAGCUGGCCUCUCCCUAUGACACUUCUAACUUGGUUGUUUAGAACAGCAGCUCUAUUGAAAUCAUUUUUACCUCCUGCAAUUAAAAUCUUUGAGACCAUGAUAGAGUUGUUAGCAAAAUAUUGCUGUAAUCUCAGCUAAUGUAAGAGGACUAAGUCAUUUAUUAGAAACCAUAGUGAGUUAAUAAAACAGAGUAGCUGAAAAUGUCUCCUAAUUCUAGAGUCUAGGGUGGGGAGUUAUUAACAGUGUAUAUAAUUUGUGACUGUUCAUGGGUAGUGACCUAGUAACAGACUGUUCCAUUUUAAGGCUACUGCUAGUGAGUACUAAAAUGCUUGUAACAAAACAAAGCAAACUCUGCUUUUUUGUCUGGUUUGUUUUGUUUGUAUUAUACUUCAUUGCUUCUUGUGUUAUGCUAGAGUUGCACAUUUCUGAGUGUCUCAUUCUUCUUGUUCAUAGAAUCAUAAACUUUUCCCACAACUCUGAAGAGUUGGACGUAAUGACCAGUAAAAACAGGAUUUUUUCAAUAUGGCAACCAUUCCAAUAACAAUUACUGAUAAUUCUUUUGUUUCUCUUCACCUAUAAAAAAGAUAACUAACUAACCAGUUCAACAAAAUGUCAUUUCUUGCUAGAUUUUUCACUAGAAGAAAGGAGUUUUCUUGCCCCUCAGAAUUUUGUAAGUUCUCCUAAUGAUUUGCUAAUUUGGUGUGUGUGGGGGUGGGGUGGGGGGAGGCACAGUAUAAACAUGCACAUCCUUUAAUUUUACCUGCUGAUAAGUAAUUUAAUCCUUAUUUUUAUGUUAAAUCAGCAAGGAUAUACUAUGGCUUAAAGGCAAAAUGUGAGACUUUAAACAAAGCCCUGGGUUUGCAGUGGGGAAGGAUGGGAGUUUAGGGAGGGAUAUUUGGGGCAGGGGUGUUGGGGGGUUGGGGGGCUGUUUAGGUUCUUCUCUUUUGGGGGAUAUGUCAGUGGAAACUUUGAGAAGCCCUGCUUGCCACUGGGAUUAGUCCAGAAACAUAUUUGCUUUGUUUCUCCUAUUUCCCUGGGAAAGGUCUAGAUACUUUUGAAUGAAAAUACUGAAUUUUUCAAUGUACAUUAAAUUGCCCUUGUCCCACUCUGGUGCUAAAACUGGAAGGAGCUUGUAACACUAGACCAUCUUGAGGAAGAACAGUGGACACACCCCUUCAUUAGUGGAAGUAGUAUUGGCCCUGUAGAAAUGGGGGCAGUUACUGAUUGGGAGGGAGGUUUGGAUCUGGCUACAGUAGGAAAAAAAACUGGUAAUGUAACUAGAAAGAUGAUAAUAACUAUGCAAGUCCAGAUAUUUUAAUUUGAAGAUGAGAAGAGAGAAUAUCAAUCAAAAAUAAUACUGAAGUCCCAGAUUAAGAUGUAAAACAUUGGGCUCUAAAGAGGAGCAUGGAAGUUACUGUCAGUAAAAAUAUGCCCAGAGGAUCUCUGGAAAAGGUGAGAAUCGAGACAAAAGGAAGAGAAAAAAAAUGUCCUUAAGCUGAAAAUUUUAAAUGCCUCGCUAGGUGAUGUUAGAAUGCCAAAAGGACUGUUUACUAAGAAUACAAGCUGUUAACUUAAUAUGUAAUGGUAUAAACUGGGUUCUUCUUAGGAAAAAAAAAAAA